GUGCUCGCUUUGGCAGCACAUACACUAAAAUUGGAACGAUACAGAGAAGAUUAGCGUGGCCCCUGCGCAAGGAUGACAUGCAAAUUCGUGAAGCGUUCCUUUUUUUU
rnacentral:snRNA from 1 species